UAGUACGGCGAGUGAGCGGCAACAGCUCAAAUUUGAAAGCUAGCCUUCGGGUUCGCAUUGUAAUUUGUAGAGGAUGAUUUGGGGAAGCCGCCUGUCUAAGUUCCUUGGAACAGGACGUCAUAGAGGGUGAGAAUCCCGUAUGUGACAGGAAAUGGCACCCUAUGUAAAUCUCCUUCGACGAGUCGAGUUGUUUGGGAAUGCAGCUCUAAAUGGGAGGUAAAUUUCUUCUAAAGCUAAAUAUUGGCGAGAGACCGAUAGCGCACAAGUAGAGUGAUCGAAAGAUGAAAAGCACUUUGGAAAGAGAGUUAAAAAGCACGUGAAAUUGUUGAAAGGGAAGCGCUUGCAAUCAGACUUGUUUAAACUGUUCGGCCGGUCUUCUGACCGGUUUACUCAGUUUGGACAGGCCAGCAUCAGUUUCGGCGGCCGGAUAAAGGCUCUGGGAAUGUGGCCUCCACUUCGGUGGAGGUGUUAUAGCCCAGGGUGUAAUACGGCCAGCCGGGACUGAGGUCCGCGCUUCGGCUAGGAUGCUGGCGUAAUGGUUGUAAGCGAC
rnacentral:rRNA from 1 species